UUAGCAGAGAUGCUUUGGUGCCUUCGGGAACUCUGAGACAGGUGCUGCAUGGCUGUCGUCAGCUCGUGUUGUGAAAUGUUGGGUUAAGUCCCGCAACGAGCGCAACCCUUAUCCUUUGUUGCCAGCGGUCCGGCCGGGAACUCAAAGGAGACUGCCAGUGAUAAACUGGAGGAAGGUGGGGAUGACGUCAAGUCAUCAUGGCCCUUACGAGUAGGGCUACACACGUGCUACAAUGGCAUAUACAAAGAGAAGCGACCUCGCGAGAGCAAGCGGACCUCAUAAAGUAUGUCGUAGUCCGGAUUGGAGUCUGCAACUCGACUCCAUGAAGUCGGAAUCGCUAGUAAUCGUGGAUCAGAAUGCCACGGUGAAUACGUUCCCGGGCCUUGUACACACCGCCCGUCACACCAUGGGAGUGGGUUGCAAAAGAAGUAGGUAGCUUAACCUUCGGGAGGGCGCUUACCACUUUGUGAUUCAUGACUGGGGUGAAGUCGUAACAAGGUAACCGUAGGGGAACCUGCGGUUGGAUCACCUCCUUA
rnacentral:rRNA from 1 species